GACGAACGCUGGCGGCGUGCUUAACACAUGCAAGUCGAACGAUGAAGAAGAGCUUGCUCUUCGGAUUAGUGGCGAACGGGUGAGUAACACGUGACUAACCUGCCCCUUUCUCUGGGAUAACGCUCCGAAAGGAGUGCUAAUACCGGAUACUCACAUCGAGGCACAUGCCUUGAUGUGGAAAGGUUUUCGGAAAGGGAUGGAGUCGCGGCCUAUCAGGUUGUUGGUGAGGUAACGGCUCACCAAGGCGACGACGGGUAGCCGGCCUGAGAGGGCGACCGGCCACACUGGGACUGAGACACGGCCCAGACUCCUACGGGAGGCAGCAGUGGGGAAUAUUGCACAAUGGGCGAAAGCCUGAUGCAGCGACGCCGCGUGAGGGAUGAAGGUCUUCGGAUUGUAAACCUCUUUCAGUAGGGACGAAGCGAAAGUGACGGUACCUAAAGAAGAAGCACCGGCUAACUACGUGCCAGCCGCCGCGGUAA
rnacentral:rRNA from 1 species